rnacentral:rRNA from 1 species
CCUACGGGAGGCAGCAGUGAGGAAUAUUGGUCAAUGGCCGGAAGGCUGAACCAGCCAAGCCGCGUGAAGGACGAAGGUGCCAAGCAUUGUAAACUUCUUUUGUCAAGGGACAAAAUCAGGCUCGAGAGCAUGACCGAGGGUACUUGAAGAAAAAGCAUCGGCUAACUCCGUGCCAGCAGCCGCGGUAAUACGGAGGAUGCGAGCGUUAUCCGGAUUUAUUGGGUUUAACGGGUGCGUAGGCGGACUGUUAAGUCAGCGGUAAAACCCCGGGGCUCAACCCCGGCGAGCCGUGGAAACUGGCUGUCUUGAGAUGUCGAGAGGUAUGCGGAAUGCGUAGUGUAGCGGUGAAAUGCGUAGAUAUUGCGCAGAACUCCGAUGGCGAAGGCAGCAUACCGGCGGCGAUCUGACGCUGAGGCACGAAAGCGUGGGUAUCGAACAGGAUUAGAUACCCCUGUAGUC